GGCACCUGGCAAUGCAGAGCACAAAUACAUGCCAUGUUCUGUAAUACAGUGGGGAAGAGCUGCACCACACUGAAAACCUUCAAUACACAUUGGUGUUCCCUACCUGCCUUGUCCUUUAACAAGAGGAGACAUUGCUCACAGAACUGAAGACAGGGGUUGUAGGCCCUGUGCCAACAAAGGAAACGAAUGAAAUAACACCUCUCACAGCUGACUUCCCUGAGCAUCUGAUAGGUGAAGGUUCCCAUAGUGCAUGACAGCCCCUGUCAGCUUGUAGAUGGCUGUCUUUUCAUCAGCAGUGAAGCCCAGGAUGUCAAUGGCACUCUGUCUUGACAGUGACUUUGCCCGAUUCUCUGCUUGUGAUUGUCCCUUUCACAAAGGAUUCUUUGGGAUGAACCACGAAGA